UAACAGGUCAAAGAAGAAGAAGAGGAAGACAAGAUGGCCGCCGACCUCUCCUUCCCAGGCAAACACACUAUUUUACCGUUUUCUCCACUUGUAAAGCCUGACGGAGGUGUCUGAGGCAGUAUAUCAUGUGGUAAUGGUUCUCCACGCCUUUAGAAACCCACAGUAACCGCCGGAGACCAAGAGAACACGGAGAAAACAGGGAGUGGAGAUUGUGGGCGGAUUUUUCGUGUUUAUAAGCUCAAACUCCAUCCUGGAGCUCCAGAAGAGGCCCUCUGGACUGGGGCCCAAGCAGCGGUGGACUCUCAACAACAACAACAACAACAACUCCGUCAAGUAACCCAAGAGAGGAGGAAGAGAAUGGACAAUUUACAACAAUAUGCACAGACAACAACAAGAAGAAGAGGAGGAAGAAGAAGAAGAAGAGUAAGAAGAUGAGGAGGAGGAAGAGAAUGGAAGGGAAGGAGCAGCACACACUAUUGGUGAGUGUUGAGUUUAUUUUUUCCUUGUUUCCUCCUCCUCCUGCUUCUUGUUGUUGUUGUCUUUUUUCUUCCAUGUGUUGUGUCCCUCCUGGUGUGACAGUUCCUCCUGUGUGUCCAGCAGCUGUCCCCUGCUGAUGGCUUACACUUUCUUCCACCGAGGACUACCCCAGCAGCUUACCUAAGGACAUGGAAACAAA